rnacentral:rRNA from 1 species
GUAACGACUCUCGGCAACGGAUAUCUCGGCUCUCGCAUCGAUGAAGAACGUAGCGAAAUGCGAUACUUGGUGUGAAUUGCAGAAUCCCGUGAACCAUCGAGUCUUUGAACGCAAGUUGCGCCCGAAGCCAUUUGGCCGAGGGCACGCCUGCCUGGGCGUCACGC